rnacentral:rRNA from 1 species
UAGGGAAUAUUGCAAAAUGGGCGAAAGCCCGAUGCAGCAACGCCGCGUGGGCGAUGAAGGCCUUCGGGUCGUAAAGCCCUUUUUGAGGGGAUGAGGAAGGACAGUACCCUCAGAAUAAGCCUCGGCUAACUACGUGCCAGCAGCCGCGGUAAAACGUAGGAGGCGAGCGUUAUCCGGAUUUACUGGGCGUAAAGCGCGUGCAGGCGGAUUGGAGAGUUGGAUGUGAAAGCUCCCGGCUUAACUGGGAGAGGUCGUUCAAUACUUCCAGUCUUGAGUGCAGUAGAGGGUAGUGGAAUUCCAGGUGUAGUGGUGAAAUGCGUAGAUAUCCGGAGGAACACCAGUGGCGAAAGCGGCUUCCUGGACUGUAACUGACGCUCAGACGCGAAAGCUAGGGUAGCAAACG